GGUGGUAAUGCCGGAUGCUCCAGUUGACCGCAUGGUCCUCUGGGAAAGCUUUUGCGGUAUGGGAUGGGGUCGCGUCCUAUCAGCUUGAUGGCGGGGUAACGGCCCACCAUGGCUUCGACGGGUAGCCGGCCUGAGAGGGCGACCGGCCACAUUGGGACUGAGAUACGGCCCAGACUCCUACGGGAGGCAGCAGUGGGGAAUAUUGCACAAUGGGCGCAAGCCUGAUGCAGCGACGCCGCGUGCGGGAUGACGGCCUUCGGGUUGUAAACCGCUUUUGACUGGGAGCAAGCCCUUCGGGGUGAGUGUACCUUUCGAAUAAGCACCGGCUAACUACGUGCCAGCAGCCGCGGUAAUACGUAGGGUGCAAGCGUUAUCCGGAAUUAUUGGGCGUAAAGGGCUCGUAGGCGGUUCGUCGCGUCCGGUGUGAAAGUCCAUCGCUUAACGGUGGAUCCGCGCCGGGUACGGGCGGGCUUGAGUGCGGUAGGGGAGACUGGAAUUCCCGGUGUAACGGUGGAAUGUGUAGAUAUCGG
rnacentral:rRNA from 1 species